rnacentral:rRNA from 1 species
GGUGCAGCGUUAAUCGGAACUACUGGGCGUAAAGCGAGUGCAGGCGGUCGCGUGUGUCGGGUGUGAAAGCCCAGGGCUCAACCUUGGAAUUGCACUCGAAACUGCGUGACUAGAAUGUGGUAGAGGAAGACGGAAUUCCACGUGUAGCGGUGAAAUGCGUAGAUAUGUGGAGGAACACCAAUGGCGAAGGCAGUCUUCUGGGCCAACAUUGACGCUGAGGCUCGAAAGCGUGGGUAGCAAACAGGAUUAGAUACCCUGGUAGUCCACGCCGUAAACGAUGAGAACUAGACGUUGGUUGACAUAGUCGACCAGUGUCGCAGCUAACGCGUUAAGUUCUCCGCCUGGGGAGUACGGCCGCAAGGUUGAAACUCAAAG